CAGUCGCCACGGUAAUACAGAGGCCUCAAGCGUUGUUCGGAUUCAUUGGGCGUAAAGGGUGCGUAGGUGACUUGGUAAGUUGAAGGUGAAAUCUCGGGGCUUAACCCCGAAACUGCCUUCAAUACUGCUAGGCUCGAGGACUGUAGAGGAGAAUGGAAUUCACGGUGUAGCAGUGAAAUGCGUAGAUAUCGUGAGGAAGACCAGUGGCGAAGGCGAUUCUCUGGGCAGUUCCUGACACUGAGGCACGAAGGCCAGGGGAGCAAACGGGAUUAGAUACCCGAGUAGUCCCUGUCUCUUAUAC
rnacentral:rRNA from 1 species